rnacentral:tRNA from 1 species
GGGCUUGUAGCUCAGUUGGUUAGAGCGCUCCGCUCAUAACGGAGUGGUCGCAGGUUCAAGUCCUGCCAAGCCCACCA